UACGUAGGGGGCAAGCGUUGUCCGGAAUCAUUGGGCGUAAAGCGCGUGUAGGCGGCUCGGUAAGUCCGCUCUGAAAGUCCAGGGCUCAACCCUGGAAAGCGGGUGGAUACUGCCGGGCUUGAAUCCGGAAGAGGCGAGUGGAAUUCCUGGUGUAGCGGUGGAAUGCGCAGAUAUCAGGAGGAACACCAAUAGCGAAGGCAGCUCGCUGGGACGGUAUUGACGCUAAGGCGCGAAAAGCGUGGGGGAGCAAACAGGG
rnacentral:rRNA from 1 species